UAUGCUUUUCCUAAAGAUUAAGCCAUGCAUGCCUAAGACUAUGAGGAAGCAAUUCUCUCUGAAUCUGCGAACGGCUCCGCAAACCAGUUGUAAACCAUAGCAGCGUUCCGCCCGGCUUCAGCAAUGGAGCCGGGCAUUAUAUGGAUAACCGUGGUAAUUCUGAGGCUAAUACAUGACACACCAACCUGCCGGGCUGGGGGCAACUCCGGCUAGGUGGGGGACGUGCAAACUCCCAUUGCUAUAACAAAACCACGAAUGAAUGCACGUUCAGACCGCCAACCAACGGCAAGGGGGCUUCGGCUUCCGAACCGGGCGGCCCCUGCAACGGGCUUCUGACCUAUCAACUAGACGGCAGCGUAAGGGACAUGCUAUGGUAACAACGGGUACAGAGGAUUAGGGUUCGAUCCUGGAGAGUGGGCCUGAGAGAUUGCUCAUACUUCUAAGGAAGGCAGCAGGCGCGCAACGUUCCCCUUGGGCAAAGCUCGAGGGCGUUAUGGGAAAUAUGAAUGCUUGCCUAUACGGUGGGCAAUUCAAAUGGGUUUGUCGUAAACAGGCUCUCGAGUA
rnacentral:rRNA from 1 species